AGACGCUUUUCGAUCCAGCUGAGCAGCUCUUUGACGUAUUUACACCACAUUUUGGCAUAUUCCAGGGCCGCCUCGAUGCCACCUUCGCAUUUUAUCAGCAUCUCGUCUGCCUCCUGAACUGCAAGAGAAUAAACCCGGGUUCGGAACCGGCCGAUGGGCAGAAGUUCCCCACAAAAAGCGGCAAAACUGGGAGUCUCAAGAGUCGAUGCUGCCAAAUAUGCUGAUAACAGCCAUAAAAAAAGGGUUUUUCACUCAAUAACAUCAUUACGAUCUACUUCCCGGUGACCCCACGCAGUCCUGCCCACGGAACCACACAAGUUCCAGAUUCUUCUCACCCCUCCGAAGCACCACGGACUGGCCCCAGAUGAAGAUGGGGCUCUGGGAGGAGGAUUCAUGCUCUCAGAGGGUCCGGAGACCUCUCAGCUCCUCGAUGGGGAGGAGCUCGCUCCAGCGCAGCGGUAAAGGGACCCGGCUGUUCCUAAACACUCAAAUUCUGCUCAAAACAGAAAAUAACAAACACUGGAGACCGAAUCGAGCAGAAAACCCCACUUUCAGCGAUGG